rnacentral:rRNA from 1 species
AACGCUAGCUACAGGCUUAACACAUGCAAGUCGAGGGGCAGCGCAGUGUAGCAAUACAUGGGCGGCGACCGGCGCACGGGUGCGUAACGCGUAUCCAACCUUCCCGUUACUCAGGGAUAGCCUUCCGAAAGGGAGAUUAAUACCUGAUGGUGUUCAAAUUCCGCAUGUUAUUUGAACUAAAGAUUUAUCGGUAACGGAUGGGGAUGCGUGACAUUAGGUAGAUGGCGGGGUAACGGCCCACCAUGCCUACGAUGUCUAGGGGUUCUGAGAGGAAGGUCCCCCACACUGGAACUGAGACACGGUCCAGACUCCUACGGGAGGCAGCAGUGAGGAAUAUUGGUCAAUGGUCGGAAGACUGAACCAGCCAAGUAGCGUGAAGGAUGAAGGUUCUAUGGAUUGUAAACUUCUUUUAUACGGGAAUAAAACCUCCCACGUGUGGGAGCUUGUAUGUACCGUAUGAAUAAGCAUCGGCUAACUCCGUGCCAGCAGCCGCGGUAAUACGGAGGAUGCGAGCGUUAUCCGGAUUUAUUGGGUUUAAAGGGAGCGUAGACGGGGAAUUAAGUCAGUUGUGAAAGGCUGCGGCUCAACCGCAGCACUGCAGUUGAUACUGGUUUCCUUGAGUGCGGUUGAGGUAUGUGGAAUUCGUGGUGUAGCGGUGAAAUGCUUAGAUAUCACGAAGAACUCCGAUUG